ACCAUGCAGUCGAGCGGUAACAGGUCUAGCUUGCUAGACGCUGACGAGCGGCGGACGGGUGAGUAAUGCAUAGGAAUCUGCCCGAUAGUGGGGGAUAACCUGGGGAAACCCAGGCUAAUACCGCAUACGUCCUACGGGAGAAAGGGGGCUUCGGCUCGCGCUAUCGGAUGAGCCUAUGUCGGAUUAGCUAGUUGGUGGGGUAAUGGCCCACCAAGGCGACGAUCCGUAGCUGGUCUGAGAGGAUGAUCAGCCACAUCGGGACUGAGACACGGCCCGAACUCCUACGGGAGGCAGCAGUGGGGAAUAUUGGACAAUGGGGGCAACCCUGAUCCAGCCAUGCCGCGUGUGUGAAGAAGGCCUUCGGGUUGUAAAGCACUUUCAGCGAGGAAGAACGCCUGGGAAUUAAUACCUCCCUGGAAAGACAUCACUCGCAGAAGAAGCACCGGCUAACUCCGUGCCAGCAGCCGCGGUAAUACGGAGGGUGCAAGCGUUAAUCGGAAUUACUGGGCGUAAAGCGCGCGUAGGUGGCUUGAUAAGCCGGUUGUGAAAGCCCCGGGCUCAACCUGGGAACGGCAUCCGGAACUGUCAAGCUAGAGUGCAGGAGAGGAAGGUAGAAUUCCCGGUGUAGCGGUGAAAUGCGUAGAGAUCGGGAGGAAUACCAGUGGCGAAGGCGGCCUUCUGGACUGACACUGACACUGAGGUGCGAAAGCGUGGGUAGCAAACAGGAUUAGAUACCCUGGUAGUCCACGCCGUAAACGAUGUCGACCAGCCGUUGGGUGCCUAGCGCACUUUGUGGCGAAGUUAACGCGAUAAGUCGACCGCCUGGGGAGUACGGCCGCAAGGUUAAAACUCAAAUGAAUUGACGGGGGCCCGCACAAGCGGUGGAGCAUGUGGUUUAAUUCGAUGCAACGCGAAGAACCUUACCUACCCUUGACAUCUACAGAACCCGGAAGAGAUUCCGGGGUGCCUUCGGGAACUGUAAGACAGGUGCUGCAUGGCUGUCGUCAGCUCGUGUUGUGAAAUGUUGGGUUAAGUCCCGUAACGAGCGCAACCCUUGUCCUUAUUUGCCAGCACGUAAUGGUGGGAACUCUAAGGAGACUGCCGGUGACAACCGGAGGAAGGUGGGGACGACGUCAGUCAUCAUGGCCCUUACGGGUAGGGCUACCACGUGCUACAUGGCCGGGACAAAGGGUUGCAAAUUGCCAAAGUAACCAUCCCC
rnacentral:rRNA from 1 species